rnacentral:rRNA from 1 species
GACGAACGCUGGCGGCGUGCCUAAUACAUGCAAGUUGAGCGCUGAAGGUUGGUACUUGUACCAACUGGAUGAGCAGCGAACGGGUGAGUAACGCGUGGGGAAUCUGCCUUUGAGCGGGGGACAAAAUUUGGAAACGAAUGCUAAUACCGCAUAAAAACUUUAAACACAAGUUUUAAGUUUGAAAGAUGCAAUUGCAUCACUCAAAGAUGAUCCCGCGUUGUAUUAGCUAGUUGGUGAGGUAAAGGCUCACCAAGGCGAUGAUACAUAGCCGACCUGAGAGGGUGAGCGGCCACAUUGGGACUGAGACACGGCCCAAACUCCUACGGGAGGCAGCAGUAGGGAAUCUUCGGCAAUGGACGAAAGUCUGACCGAGCAACGCCGCGUGAGUGAAGAAGGUUUUCGUAUCGUAAAACUCUGUUGGUAGAGAAGAACGUUGGUGAGAGUGGAAAGCUCAUCAAGUGACGGUAACUACCCAGAAAGGGACGGCUAACUACGUG